GAUGAACGCUGGCGGCGUGCCUAACACAUGCAAGUCGAGCGAACGGACGAGAAUCUUUCUCCUCUGAGGGUGGCGCCGGACGGGUGGGUAACUCGUGGAUAACCUACCUAUAAGACUGGGAUAAUUUUGGGGAAUGGGAGCUAAGACCGGAUAAUAUUUUGAAUCUCAUGGGUCAAGAGUGAGAUACGGUCUUUGGGUCAGUUAAUGACGCACCCGCGCGUCAUUAGCUAGUUGGUAAGGUAACAGGUUACCAAGGCUGCGAUGGAUAGCGGACCUGAGAGGGUGAUCGGGCAGAUGGGAACUGAGACUCGGUCGAGACUCCGACGGGAGGACGCAGUCGGAAAUCUUACGCGAUGGGCGAAAGCCUGAUGGAGCAACACCGCGUAAGUGAUGACGGUCUUAGGCUCGUAGAACUCUGUUAUUAGUAGAGAACAUAUGUGUAAGUAACUGUGCACAUAUUGACGGUACCUAGUCAGAAAGCCACGGCUAACUACGUG
rnacentral:rRNA from 1 species